rnacentral:rRNA from 1 species
UACGGAGGAUCCAAGCGUUAUCCGGAUUCAUUGGGUUUAAAGGGUGCGUAGGCGGAAUAGUAAGUCAGUGGUGAAAGCCUACAGCUUAACUGUAGAAUUGCCAUUGAUACUGCUAAUCUUGAGUACAGAUGAAGUGGGCGGAAUGUGUCAUGUAGCGGUGAAAUGCUUAGAUAUGACACAGAACACCGAUUGCGAAGGCAGCUCACUAAACUGUAACUGACGCUGAGGCACGAAAGCGUGGGGAUCAAACAGG